AUUGAACGCUGGCGGCAUGCCUUACACAUGCAAGUCGAACGGCAGCAUGAUGUGUAGCAAUACACGUUGAUGGCGAGUGGCGAACGGGUGAGUAAUAUAUCGGAACAUGUCCUGUAGCGGGGGAUAACCUAUCGAAAGAUGGACUAAUACCGCAUACGCUCCACGGAGGAAAGGCGGGGUCGCAAGACCUCGCACUAUAGGAGUGGCCGAUAUCGGAUUAGCUAGUUGGCGGGUAAAAGCCCACCAAGGCGACGAUCCGUAGCUGGUCUGAGAGGAUGAUC
rnacentral:rRNA from 1 species